GACGAACGCUGGCGGCGUGCUUAACACAUGCAAGUCGAACGCAUUUUCCCUGCUUUUGUGGUGUUCUCGCGUAGCGAACGGGUUAGUAACCCGUGAGUAACCUGCCCUUUACUUUGGGCUACCUUCAGGAAACUGGCGCUAAUACCGGAUAUGAUCUCCUGCUGCAUGGUUUGGGUUGGAAAGUUUCGGUGGUUGGGGCUGGUCUCGCGGCUUAUCAGCUUGUUGGUGGGGUAGUGGCUUACCAAGGCUUUGCCGGGUAGCCGGACUGAGAGGGUGACCGGGCACAGAGGGAUUCGGGAAGGGCCCGGAGGCAUACGUGAGGCAGCGGUGGAAAACAGAGCGAGAUAGGCGGAAGGCGGAUGCAGCAACGUCGGGUUGGAGAACACUGUCGUCGGGGUGGAAACCGGUUGAGACUGGGAAGAAGCGUGAGUGACGGUAACGAGUAAAGAAGCAACGGCUAACUACGUG
rnacentral:rRNA from 1 species